rnacentral:rRNA from 1 species
GAUGAACGCUCGCGGCGUGCAUAACACAUUCAAGUCGAACGGUGACGAGGACUUCGGUCCUCUGAUCAGUGGCGGACGGGUGAGUAACGCGUGAGCAACCUGCCCUAUAUUGCGGGAUAACAACCGGAAACAGUUGCUAAUACCGCAUGACGUAUUCGGAUCGCAUGUUCUGAAUACCAAAGAAUUUUGAUAUAGGAUGGGCUCGCGUCCGAUUAGGCAGUUGGUGGGGUAACGGCCCACCAAACCGACGAUCGGUAGCCGAACUGAGAGGUUGAACGGCCACAUUGGAACUGAGAUACGGUCCAGACUCCUACGGGAGGCAGCAGUAGGGAAUAUUGGGCGAUGGGCGAAAGCCUGACCCAGCGACGCCGCGUGAGGGAAGAAGGUCUUCGGAUUGUAAACCUCUUUCAGCAGGGAAGAAGCAAGUGACGGUACCUGCAGAAGAAGUCACGGCUAACUACGUGCCAGCCGCCGCCGUAACAC